AUUGCACAUAAUAUCCUUGUUUUUAUUUUCCAGAAGAGAAACCCAAACACAGCAGCCCAAGGAUAUGUCAGAGGCAUAUACUUAUGUUUUCCCAUCUAUCAAAUCAGGCUGUCCAGGUGGUUUGCUGCUCUGUGGUGCUGAGGAUUCAGAGAUGAAUCAGGCUUGACCUCAAAGACACAGAACGUGUAAACAAGGGACCCCCUUUUCAACUUAUAAUUUGAUCUGGAUUCAACUCAGAGUAGCAAAUUGAAAUUAUAAGGCUGCAUUAGAAGUCACAGAAC